rnacentral:rRNA from 1 species
GAUGAACGCUGGCGGCGUGCCUAAUACAUGCAAGUCGAGCGAACAGACGAGGAGCUUGCUCCUCUGACGUUAGCGGCGGAAGGGUGAGUAACACGUGGAUAACCUACCUAUAAGACUGGGAUAACUUCGGGAAACCGGAGCUAAUACCGGAUAAUAUAUUGAACCGCAUGGUUCAAUAGUGAAAGACGGUUUUGCUGUCACUUAUAGAUGGAUCCGCGCCGCAUUAGCUAGUUGGUAAGGUAACGGCUUACCAAGGCAACGAUGCGUAGCCGACCUGAGAGGGUGAACGGCCACACUGGAACUGAGACACGGUCCAGACUCCUACGGGAGGCAGCAGUAGGGAAUCUUCCGCAAUGGGCGAAAGCCUGACGGAGCAACGCCGCGUGAGUGAUGAAGGUCUUCGGAUCGUAAAACUCUGUUAUUAGGGAAGAACAAAUGUGUAAGUAACUAUGCACGUCUUGACGGUACCUAAUCAGAAAGCCACGGCUAACUACGUG